UCCUCUCUCUUCCCCUCCUACUCUCUCCCCCUCUCCCUCUUUCCUGUUUAAAGGACUCCUUUGGAGAUUGCAACAUACAUCCAGGAUUGAUGUUAAUUAACACCUUGGGCUUAGGGGUCAACGGAUCCAGACAAAGGCUCUGCCCAGUGACCACAUUAAGAUGGAACUGAAGGAAUGAAAAGGGACAAAGUCAAUGACAAUGAAGAAAAUCAGAAAAGACCAUCGACGACGAAUGAGAGACUUCCACAAAUUUAUGCAAGAGGAAAGGUGGGGAGAGACUUUCAUUUCUGGGAGUGCAGUAGAUUGAAUAUUCUGCAAGGUCCUGCUGCUAAAAACUGAAUCCUACAUAAAUUACAACCAACAUGACUUUAAAUGCCUUGCUGGGAUCAGAAGAAAGUGAGGGAAAUCUCCAAAAGCCAGAAGUCAAAAAAAAAAAGAAGGAAUGAAGGAGGAAAAGGAGGGAGAAAAGACAAAGAAAAAGAAAAAGUGAGCCAAACACAGAGGAGUAAGCAGUGAUCAGUAUGAAGAAAUUUCACCCUUCAUGUGGUAUAUGGUUCUAAAACCACCAAGAGAUGGAAUUGUGCAUAAUAAAAAGAACAGGACAUACAAGAAAGCUGGGAUUGGAGAAAACACUCCAAACCUGUAUAGUCUCAUAAAAAAUUUACUGAACUGUAAUAACAAAAGUAAAUAAACACAUACACAAAUGCUACUGC
rnacentral:lncRNA from 1 species